AUGAGUUCUGUGAAAUCCUCCCUUCCCCUUUCUGUCCCUCAUUUCCAGACUCUGCUAUUCUCAGGCAUUGAUGGGAAACCUCUGAGUGAUUCUCCACUUUGAUCUCUGUGUUUAUCCUGACUCUACUGACCUUGCUGUCACCUUGUAAGAAUUUGCAAGGAAUUCUAGCAAGACAGCUUAGCUGAAAUGGUGAUAUGAUCUGACAAAGACACAGGAGCAUAUGCCAGAGUCCAGUUACCACCUUGACCACCACUUCUGUUCAGGUGAAAGGGAUUAGAGGCCACAGCCUUGUGAAUUUUGAAAGAUCAGAAAGUGGAACCAUGCCAGAUUUUCCAGCCACUGGGUCCAGCUCUAUGACCUAGCCCAAGAAGUCAACAUGCCCAGAUAAACACAGAAAAUCCUGUGACUUUUCAAGCUCUUAAUAAACCUGGCCUUUUCGUUCCCCCUUUUUU